AUUGAACGCUGGCGGCAUGCUUUACACAUGCAAGUCGAACGGCAGCGCGGGCUUCGGCCUGGCGGCGAGUGGCGAACGGAUGAGUAAUGCAUCGGAACGUGCCCAGUAGUGGGGGAUAGCCCGGCGAAAGCCGGAUUAAUACCGCAUACGACCUGAGGGUGAAAGCGGGGGACCGAAAGGCCUCGCGCUAUUGGAGCGGCCGAUGUCGGAUUAGCUAGUUGGUGGGGUAAAGGCUUACCAAGGCGACGAUCCGUAGCUGGUCUGAGAGGACGACCAGCCACACUGGGACUGAGACACGGCCCAGACUCCUACGGGAGGCAGCAGUGGGGAAUUUUGGACAAUGGGGGCAACCCUGAUCCAGCCAUGCCGCGUGCGGGAAGAAGGCCUUCGGGUUGUAAACCGCUUUUGUUCGGGAAGAAAUCCUCUGGGCUAAUACCCCGGGGGGAUGACGGUACCGGAAGAAUAAGCACCGGCUAACUACGUG
rnacentral:rRNA from 1 species